AACUAACGCUGGCGGCGUGCCUAACACAUGCAAGUCGUACGAGAAAGUUGGCUUCGGCCGAUGAGUACAGUGGCGCACGGGUAAGUAACGCGUGGAUAAUCUGCCCUUAAGUGUGGAAUAACGUACCGAAAGGUGCGCUAAUACCGCAUAAUGCCUGGCAACAUAAGUUGUCCGGCCAAAGAAGGCCUCUGCUUGCAAGCUUUCGCUAAAGGAUGAGUCCGCGUACCAUUAGCUAGUUGGUGGGGUAACGGCCUACCAAGGCGACGAUGGUUAGCUGGUCUGAGAGGAUGAUCAGCCACACUGGAACUGAGACACGGUCCAGACUCCUACGGGAGGCAGCAGUGAGGAAUAUUGCGCAAUGGGGGCAACCCUGACGCAGCAACGCCGCGUGAGUGAGGAAGGUUUUCGGACUGUAAAGCUCUGUCGAGCGGGAAGAAGUGUACCAUGGCUAAUAUCCAUGAUACUUGACGGUACCGCUAAAGGAAGCACCGG
rnacentral:rRNA from 1 species